rnacentral:rRNA from 1 species
UACGUAGGGACCAAGCGUUGUUCGGAUUUACUGGGCGUAAAGGGCGCGUAGGCGGCUUGACAAGUCACUUGUGAAAUCUCUGGGCUUAACCCAGAACGGCCAAGUGAUACUGUCGAGCUAGAGUGCAGAAGGGGCAAUCGGAAUUCUUGGUGUAGCGGUGAAAUGCGUAGAUAUCAAGAGGAACACCUGAGGUGAAGACGGGUUGCUGGGCUGACACUGACGCUGAGGCGCGAAAGCCAGGGGAGCGAACGGG